rnacentral:sRNA from 1 species
CAGGGAUGAGGCUGAGAAAUGUGUCGAGAUCGCCCGGGAGGCCCUGAACGCCGGCAACCGCGAGAAGGCCCAGCGCUUCCUGCAGAAGGCCGAGAAGCUCUACCCACUGCCCUCGGCCCGCGCACUAUUGGAAAUAAUUAUGAAAAAUGGAAGCACGGCUGGAAAUAGCCCUCAUUGCCGAAAACCAUCAGGUAGUGGUGAUCAAAGCAAGCCUAACUGCACAAAGGACAGCACAUCUGGUAGUGGUGAAGGUGGAAAAGGCUAUACCAAAGACCAAGUAGAUGGAGUUCUCAGCAUAAACAAAUGUAAAAAUUACUAUGAAGUACUUGGAGUUACGAAAGAUGCUGGUGAUGAAGAUUUGAAAAAAGCUUAUAGAAAGCUUGCUUUGAAGUUUCAUCCAGACAAAAACCAUGCACCUGGAGCAACAGAUGCUUUUAAAAGUAAAGUAAACCUUUUAAAGCAAUUUUACUAAGCUGUCUUUAGAAUUCACUUUACAGUGUUUCAGAAUAUUAAAUUCUGCUUUUGGACUGGUGCAUUUAGAGACCAGCACAAGCAAGAGUCUGGAAAAUCCUUUAAAACUUCAGUAUUAACUGGUUAUACCCGAAGUCAAACAAAUGCAGUUUGGCUUCACAAAAGCAACAUUCCAGUUCUGAUACAGUCUCAAGUAACUUUUCUAGGCACGUAUGCAUGCUUUCUUGUUUACCAGGAACAAGUAGGGUGAUGAUUAUGCAUGAGCUUCUAGCGUAUUGUCAUCUGGUUCUAAAUGAACUAAAAGCAAAAUAUAGUUUUUUUGAGUUUUUAAGGUACAAGAGACUGUCUGGAAUUUGGAUAUUUAAGAAAUAUCUCCCCAGUAUUCUUUUAUUUCUAUUAAACUUUGCCCAGUUUUUUCAUUUUAUAUAUCUAGUUUUAGCUAAUGUGAUUUUUUCUUUUUAAAAAUUAAUAUCUUUCCUCUUGCCUAC